rnacentral:rRNA from 1 species
GGACCCGACUGCUAUCAGAGUGGGACUAAGCCAUGCGAGUCAACAUAGCAAUAUGUGGCAUACGGCUCAGUAACACGUAGUCAACAUGCCCAGGGGACGUGGAUAACCUUGGGAAACUGAGGAUAAACCGCGAUAGGUCAUCACUUUUGGAAUGGGUAAUGACUUAAACCUAUAUGGCCCCUGGAUUGGACUGCGGCCGAUCAGGCUGUUGGCGAGGUAAUGGCCCACCAAACCUGUAACCGGUACGGGCUUUGAGAGGAGGAGCCCGGAGAUGGGCACUGAGACAAGGGCCCCGGCCCUAUGGGGCGCAGCAGGCGCGAAACCUUUGCAAUAGGCGAAAGCUUGACAGGGUUACUUUGAGUGAUUUCCGUUAAGGAGAUCUUUUGGCACCUCUAAAAAUGGUGCAGAAUAAGGGGUGGGCAAGUUUGGUGU